rnacentral:rRNA from 1 species
GGAGUCUGGGCCGUAUCUCAGUCCCAAUGUGGCCGAUCACCCUCUCAGGCCGGCUACCGAUCGUCGCCUUGGUGGGCCGUUACCCCGCCAACAACCUAAUCAGACGCAUCCCCAUCCUAUAGCGGUAAACCUUUGGUAUUCUUCAGAUGUCCUCUAAAUACAACAUAGAGCAUUAAUCCGACUUUCGCCGGGCUAUUCUCUACUAUAGGGAAGGUUGGAUACGCGUUACUCACCCGUGCGCCGGUCGCCAGCAUCAAAAGCAAGCUUUCGAUCUGCUGCCCCUCGACUUGCAUGUGUUAAGCCUGUAGCUAGCGUUCAUC